UGUUGGGAGGCAAACCAAGGAGAGCCACCACUAGCAGAGGCCAUGGCUCAACCGAGGAUCUAAGUGACCCAUACAGAUACCUCUUGUAUGGUUUGAACAAUAAGCCAACACCCUGAAAAGUCUGACUUCUCAAGGCCUCUUCAAGGUCCUUUUAGAUCUGGUUUUAAAAAGCUUUCCCUUUUCACCUAGAAUAACAGUUGAUAUUGAGGGGUCUACCAGGUGUAACUUCUCUGUGGAAGCACAAAUUAUCAAAUCAAGUUGCUUUCUCAAUAAAAAAUGUAUUUCCACCAAAGUUUGUAUUUAGUGUAAACAGGUCAACUAAAUCUGAUGGUUUGGUUGUCCAAAUCGUUCUGGGGCAAUUGGAAGAGAGUAUACAGUCAUUCUCAGGACUUGUGCUGGGAAAGUCUGAGUGGUAUCCAAACGUGCCCUCAUUUGCUUUCUGUGUUCUCUCUGUGCAACAAUUCCUCUUGGUUCAACAGCUUCAAAUAUUAACUCGGAAAGUGUAGAGGGGAGAGUUUGUCCUGCAGGGCUAAAAGCCUGUUUGAUCCCAAGGGAAUAUGGGCAUUUCAGAUGCUAUAAACAAGCAGAGGGAAAAAUCAGAUGAAGAUAAAGUGCUAUGUGCCAUAGCUCAUUAUUCUGAGCAGCUUGGCGGCUGCCAGGCCAUUAGACUUACUUCUGUUUUUGCCAACAACAUCGCUCUGGAGAUGGCUUAUUUGUAAAAGGAGCAGGAUUGAGGAUAUGCAUUCAUUUGUAAAAGAUGCCACCGCACACAUUCUGCAGCUAAUACCGUGUUCAUGAACUUCACCUGUGACUAAAUACAUUUCAUUUCUUACAGCUGAGCUUCAGUAAUUGGUUUUUGCAGCCACAAACACAUGCAGCAAGGAAGAUAUGAGAAGCCCAGCGCUCUGUCUGCUUUGAAAUGGCUUUUGCUGCAGAUGGGAAAAGCCAUCCCAGCUCUGAUUUGGCAGGUCCCGAGGUCAGAUCUUAGAGAGCUGGCACCUAGAGACUCAAAGGCAAGGAGGAGCAGGUGGCUUUGGAAGAGUAAAUGGCCCUGAAGAUUGCAGGAAGGAGGACUAUGAUAAAUUCAAAGAACCAUCGAGGAUAUCUUGAACACAGUACACGGGACUCUCACUGUUGUGGCUCAUGGGCCUAGCCACUCUGCGGCAUGUGGGAUCUUCUCAGACCGGGGCACGAACCCGUGUCCCCUGCAUCGGCAGGCGGACUCUCAACCACUGUGCCACCAGGUCCCCAAACCAGCCAUACAUGCUGAGCAAGGUAUAAGAAGACAGGUAAAGAAACAUCACUGUUAUUGGACCACGCUUUUUCUCUGUGGCAAAAUAGCACCGAGGCAACCACUGGGACCUUCUGGAAACAGACCGCAAGUGAGAGCAACUGCUUGGAUCACACUCUCAGCUCCUGGCUGACCAGCAUUUCCUAUCAUAUACCCUACACAUCUGGGCCCCCGCAGAAAGUACUAGAAAGG